AUUCCAUCAUUGGUGACGUCAGGUGUUGUGCAUUAAACACUGGCGGGAACUACAGUGUAUAUCUUUAUUUGUGUAUGAAAUAAAUUAUAAAGGUUACAUUUAUUUCAUGGACUAUCUAACAUCAGUCUGCGGUCAUACAUUAUAAAAACUUUUCGAGAUAUAUAUUGACUGGUGGAUAAGAUAUAUACGUAGGUUGAUAAGCAACUACUGUAGAAGGUUCAGGACAGUUAUGAAUAUAGAGUGGAUGUAUAAUGUACCACCACUCUGGUGGAUUAAUCUUCCCAUCAUUGGUUGAUCUUGCUGGAGAACACUCUAAGGGAUAAAAACUGCAGAAUACUAUACCACAAGUGCUACAGGCUGAUCACAAGAAGCAGAGUUGAGAAUAAUGGAUGAUGAUGAAUGGGAAGAACUUGAUGAAAGUGCAGUGGAGGAGUGCAUGGUUCUUGCCACGCAGAUGUGUUCUCGACUUUCUCAGAAUGAAAAUAUUUUGGAUCACAAGAAAAGCCCAAAUCCUGAAACAGCUGGGAAAGAUUAUUCCAAAAGUAUUACCACCAGAAAUUACCACAAUAAUCCAACAAAUACUUUUGAUGACAGUGGGUUUUCAAGCAUAAAAUGCAACAGUAAAAAUACUGCAAGCCUCUUGUCUAGCAAAAUAAAAAAUGCAGGAACAUUCGCGAAUAAACCAGGUACUCCAACAAAUAACAGCUAUAGUAGCAGGUUCAAUGACUUCAUCAUUCCAUGUAAUACUUCACAAAAAGCUAUCUCAGGAGCUGGAAGAUUACUUCAUGUUUCAGGCAAGGUAUAUAAUUCUAUCCCUAUGAAAGGAACUGGAGGAACUUUUAGCAGUACAAAAGGCUCUUGUCAGACUACCUGUCCUUCAGGGAGAUUGGAGGGGGAGGAGAAUCAACAGCAAUUACUGAAGAGGACAAAAUUGGAAAAAGACAAGGUUGAGGAAGAUCUCAUCUUAAAGCAAGGAGAGGUAAGAUAUUUUUGCCUGUGUGUGUGCAUGUGAGAGAGAGAGAAAAACUAAAUUUUUUCUUUUCAGUGAAGUCAUUAACCCUCUCACAAUGUGACGCAAAUCACGUAAAAUCAUUGGGUUGCACUAUUUGCAUCAGUUACGCGAAUCGCAUCGCUAAACUUAAAAAAAAAAUAGGUUUUCAAGAUAUUUACAUAAAAUUUUCUUGCAUGAUAGAUGAUAGCAUCAUCUUAUGAGGGAAGCUUGCAGAAAGUACCAAAGUAUGGGUGGGAUUCCGCUGACCAUCAGUUUCCUCCUGUCAGUCAUACUGGUAGGUCACAUUUGUCUUUAUUUCCUCUCUCACCCUCCUCAUAAUUGGAUGUAUUAAAAUUGCAAAGCCACCCUUAGAAAGCUCAUAAAAUUCCACUUUUUUAACUAUAUUACUGUACCUUGAUAGGCUUAUGAGAAAAAUAUCCAAGAUAUGAUGCUAAGUCAGCUGGUUGACUGUCUGGCUGAACUGUGUCGUGUUGCCUGGAGGAUGGUUUGAGGCUCUGUGUUUUGUACAUAAAAUAUGUGCUAUUGUAUUUUAUGAAAUGCUAUGUAUCAGUUUUAUUAUUGUAAUAGAUUUUGGUACAGGUUGUACCUCUAGUCCUGCAACCUCGGGACCUGACCGGUGCCGGACCAUGGAAA